rnacentral:rRNA from 1 species
UACGGAGGGGGCUAGCGUUAUCCGGAUUUACUGGGCGUAAAGCGUGUGCAGGCGGGGAGACAAGUGGUGUAUGAAAUUUCCCGGCUUAACCGGGAAGGGUUAUGCCAGACUGUCUUUCUGGAGUGCGAGAGAGGGGCGUGGAAUUCCGGGUGUAGUGGUGAAAUGCGUAGAGAUCCGGAGGAACCCCAGAGGCGAAGGCGGCGCCCUCGGCUGCGCAACUGACGCUCAGACACG